GAAUGAAAAGUGCUUAACUGCAUUUUUUCUUACACAUGUGUUUUUCUUUUUUUGAAAACUUUGCUUUGGUAGGCCUUCUAUAUGGGGCCUGCCAGAGAUUAAACUCAACCAAAUUUUAUUUAAUGUCAACCGAUUAUUUAAUAGUCAAAACUUUCAACAACGGAUCUCUUGGUUCU
rnacentral:misc_RNA from 1 species